rnacentral:sRNA from 1 species
CUCUGUGACGGUGCUGUGUCUCGCGCCUGCCCUGUGUGGAUUCCUGGCUUUAACUAAACACAGCCUCUCAUCCUUAGCACGGGUGUCAGAGGAGGAGGAGGAGCCGGAGGCCCUCUCAGUGGCCAGCACCUGCCAGCUUGUCUGGGACUCUCCAGCAGCUGCUGGGAGGCAUCCUGUGUGGUCACCUGUCACUCCCUGGAUGGCAAGUGCCAGCUGAAGCGCAGAGCCCUCGCCCGCCUACUAUGAGUUCAUCGGCGUCCGCGGCUGCCAGGACGUGCUGCACCUGUACCGCCUGCUCUGGGCCUCUGCGGUUCUAAACGUCCUGGGCCUGUUCCUGGGCAUCAUCACCGCCGCCGUCCUGGGGGCCUUCAAGGACAUGGUGCCU